rnacentral:rRNA from 1 species
GUCGAGCGCGAAAGUCCCUUCGGGGGCGAGUAGAGCGGCGGACGGGUGAGUAAUACAUAGGUAAUCUACCUUUCGAGCUUGGGAUAACCCCGCGAAAGUGGGGCUAAUAUCGGAUAAGACCACGUAAUUAUUUUACGGGGUAAAAGGUGGCUUAUUUUUUAAAUGAGCUAUCACUUGAGGAUGAGCCUGUGGCCUAUCAGCUAGUUGGCGGGGUAAGAGCCCACCAAGGCUAUGACGGGUAGCUGGUCUGAGAGGACGACCAGCCACACUGGGACUGAGACACGGCCCAGACUCUUACGGGAGGCAGCAGUGGGGAAUAUUGGGCAAUGGGCGAAAGCCUGACCCAGCGACGCCGCGUGGGCGAUGAAGGCCUUCGGGUUGUAAAGCCCUGUCAUGCGGAAAGAACGACCCUGAGACGCAUACUCUCAGGGAGUGACGGUACCGCAGGAGGAAGCACCGGCUAACUCCGUGCCAGCAGCCGCGGUAAUACGGAGGGUGCAAGCGUUGUUCGGAAUUAUUGGGCGUAAAGGGCGCGUAGGCGGUAAUGCAAGUCAGAUGUGAAAUACUCCGGCUCAACUGGGGAACUGCAUCUGAAACUGCAUAACUAGAGUACAGAAGAGGGAAACGGAAUUCCCGGUGUAGAGGUGAAAUUCGUAGAUAUCGGGAGGAACACCAGUGGCGAAGGCGGUUUCCUGGUCUGAUACUGACGCUGAGGCGCGAAAGUGUGGGGAGCAAACAGGAUUAGAUACCCUGGUAGUCCACACUGUAAACGGUGAACACUAGGUGUGGGAGGUGUAAUACCUUCCGUGCCGUAGCUAACGCGUUAAGUGUUCCGCCUGGGAAGUACGGCCGCAAGGUUGAAACUCAAAGGAAUUGACGG